rnacentral:lncRNA from 1 species
CUGGCGCCGUAGGGCCGGGCGCUGUGCGGACGCUGGUCCCCGCCCGGCUGCAGCGUUUUGCUCGGGCUGCCGUAACAAAUACCACGCCCUGGGCUUAAAGCAGCAGGAUCUUAUUCUCUCAGAACUCUGGAGCCAGGGUCUGGGUGGGGCGACGGCCCCUCAGUAUCUCUGGGGAGGCUCCUGCUGCUUCCUCCCGCUGCCGGUGGUGGCCAGCGUGCCCAGCUGCUCCUCGGCCUGCAGACGCACCGCUCCAGUCUCCGCCUUCCUCCCUGUGUAUCUGCGUGGGCGCUUCCCUCUUCCUGGCACCAUCGAUGCCUGGACUUGGAGUACUCGAAAUGGAAUUCAGGUUUUACAGGAGGAACCCGUGGGAAGAACUAUCAGAUUUCUGAUAGUUUAUUUCAUGAAAUGAAUCUCAAGAAGGCCCACUUUUAUGUGAGGUGCUUCGUAAAGGGCUACAGUUAAAAUGGCUCAAAGCAGCAGCACAGCAAACACUGUUGUCUGUGGUGUCUAAUUCUUGAAGAGGUGUGGGUGCCUGCCAGCCAGCAAUGCCCAGCACGAUGGUCAAGGUGGGUGAAAACCGGCCACCACUGGAGGGUGAGCCCAAAACACGAGCUGCCGUCCAUUCCCGAGUGCACUCAGCGCCACCGCACGCGGCGCCAGGCCCUGUGGGCGGAUGCAGGCCGGACACCGCCGAUCGGCACGAAGCAGGGGCCAGGCAGGAGGCAGAAAGCGCAGCACCACAGAGCAGGGAACAUCUAAUACGAAGAACUAUCAACACAGGAUUCGGGUGACAAAGAUUCACUUAAGAGGAGUGACCGUAGUUCUGAAGAAUACAGGACUAACAGAAGAAAGAGCAGCCGCCACACCCGGGGCCGAGAUGGAGCCCCCAGGGGAGACCCCACCACCCUCCCCACGGGGCCGGAGCUGAGACCCAGACCUCCCUGGAGACGACACGGCUGUGGCACGCUGCAUGGCCCCAGAGUCACUGAGGCCAGGGACCUCAGGACUUCCUGGGAACCCACCUCUGAUGAGCUAAGGGACACCAGCCACAGGGGGGCGCCAUGCCUCAGAACUUGCUGAAAAGCCACCCGAGGAGGUGCCUGGGGCAGCUGUACAUGUGUGUAUGUGUGUAUGUAUGUGACGUGUGUGUACACGUGCGUGUGUGUACGUGUUUGCACGCGUGUGUUUGUACGUACGUCUGUGUGUGCACGUGUGUAUGUAUAUAUAUGUGUGUGCAUGUUUACGUGUGUAUGUAUGUGUUUGCAUGUGUAUAUGUGCGUGUGUUUGUGCCUUGUGUAUGUAUGAGUACGUAUGUGUUUGUAUGUAUGUGUGUGCAUGCGUGCAUGUGUUUGCGUGUGUGUGUGAGCCAUACUGGGUGGGAUGGUCAGGGAGGAUCUUCCCAAUACGGUGAAAUUUGGGCAGAGGCCUGAAAGAGGGAAUGGCCAUGUGGGUAUUGGAAGGAAGAGCAUUCUGAGCAGAG